GACAAUGUCACAAUGGUGACCCUAAGUAGCCCAUUGAGAGUCCCAAAGCACAGACUGCCAGACCAGCUGCAGGACAUCUGGAGCGAAUUACAGCCCAUUCCAGUAUACCGUGCCCUCGGGGACAUCUGUGUCUGUUACAUGUAAAUCAUAACACUCGCACCACCUGUACAACUGGAACCCGAGCUCGGGGGAACGUGGUAAACAGGUGCCCACUGACAAGCUUAGAACUGGGAGUUCUGUGGAAACGUUUCACUCGCACCACCACCUGUACAACUGGAUCCUAUGCUUAGGGGACAGUGUUUAACAAAACAUUUACUAGUACCCACUGUUACGUUAUUGUUGACGCAAAUUUUACAUCAAUAAAUCUAAAUCUUAGAAUCUCAAAUAGGCUAUGCAGUAAAGAAGUGCAAUAUCAGCAUGGUCAAGUGAGCUGAGAGUGAGUAAAUCACUUCCAAUCCACGCAGACAGAAGGUGGCACUGAUUUAAGCUGGUACGGCUGGGUACAUCUAAGAAAAGGAUAAAACAACUUCAAGUUUCAAGCGAUACAAAACAGAGCGGCCAGGAUCACCCUUGGAUGCGACAGGUCCAACGGGUCCAGAGACUCUUUACAGUUUACUGCAGAUGCUAACGUUAGUGCCGUUAAACUUGAAAGACAUGAUCCAGCAGAAAACUUAGUGAAUUUUCAUGAGUCAUGAAAACAAACCAUCAGUGUCAAUAUGUAAACUACUCACAAUGCAAGAUCACUGUUAUCAGACCAAAUCUUCAGAAAAAGUCAGAAAAUAUCCGCUCUCUGAAACCCAGAACAAAUUUAGAUGCUCAAAACUGAACAAUUUCUGCACAGAACGUCUAACACAUGGAAUAGUUUGCUGUAAGGAAAUUAGAUUUUGUCCCAUUGUUCGUGGACCUAACGUAGACUUCCUACUUUUUGUGACUCUUUUGAAAAGUUGCUGUAUAUGAUAUUUUCCUGUGGCUGUGUGUUAUCUAGAUUUGUUCCAUGGAUAUUGAUGAAUAAAGGAUAACAGGAAGAAUACAGAUGCUAUAGACAUUGUAAAAGCUAAUCGUGUCUCCAAAUAAAUUCAUAGAAUGUUACCAACAUAUAGAUAGCUGUGUGUUAGUACUGUUAUCAAUUACCACAGAACGUGCAAUGAUUGAUGACCAGAUGGACAGACAGCUGGGCGGGGAUUUGUGUGGAAAGUAGGUUGGACGUUAUUUGUUGGGAGGAAAAGUGGGAGGAGAGAAGGGUGGACCUUAUUAGGUAUUUACAUGUUAGAUCAACCCAAAGGCGGAGCACAGAGAUAGGGAAGAGCAUUCGAGAACUUUUGAGUGAACACAAAAGACCCUCCAGUGAUGGGAGCAGACGUACUGGAUGGGAGCAGACGUAAUCAGGCGUCUAGUCUAUCAUCGUUCAGGCAAUCUUUGGCCGAGUUUUCUUGGGGACAGACGGACACAGAACAGCACAAAAGGAAUUACAACAUAUGAAGGAUGGGAAGAUGACCCCACCAGACCCCACAGCUUGUCAUGAGAACAAGUUACACAGACGGAUGCUGUUCAAACAAUUUUCCUGAACAGCGAGCUCUACAAGGCGACAACGACAACAGUCACAAGAAAUUAAUAGUUGAACUUGGACAGAAAUCAGAUUGAUAGUAACCGUAGCUUUACAAUGCAUCACAAUCUAUCACCUCAACGAAACGGAAGUCAAUGCACAUGUAGUCAGGCUUGACUCUAUAGUUCCAGGAAUUUUGUCAGCAUGCAAACAAUUUAUUAUACGGUCAACAGAAUUACAAAAGAAAUGUUUUGCUUGAAUGUAUUACCAAGUGUCAUUGUUAUAGAAGUAAAUCCAAAGUUAUAAGAAUGACGCAUCUUUGCCAUGUUCUGCCAGGUUUUUACAUUCUCUGUGUUUGUGUCUUGAGAUAUGGUAAAAGUAUAUAUGAUGUGUAUGUUGAUGAAAUAAAAGGUAUAGGCAAUUG